rnacentral:rRNA from 1 species
UACGUAGGGUGCAAGCGUUAAUCGGAAUUACUGGGCGUAAAGCGUGCGCAGGCGGUUAUGUAAGACAGUUGUGAAAUCCCCGGGCUCAACCUGGGAACUGCAUCUGUGACUGCAUAGCUAGAGUACGGUAGAGGGGGAUGGAAUUCCGCGUGUAGCAGUGAAUGCGUAGAUAUGCGGAGGAACACCGAUGGCGAAGGCAAUCCCCCCUGGACCUGUACUGACGCUCAUGCACGAAAGCGUGGGGAGCAACAGG